UGAGAGGGUCCCAGAUUUCUGAUCCACUUGAAGCCCCUCUGAUCUAGGAGGGCUCUGUAACAGAAAUAAAAAACUCAAUAUUCUCCUGCAGAAACAGAAUGGGCCACCUCUUGGGGAUACACCUUUUAGCCCUUAGAGUGGCUACAAUAAGAGGAUGGCAAACUUCAUCUACCAGCUUCUAGCCAAUGGAAAGUUCUUAAAAUUCUUCACCAAGCCUUCCACCUGGGAAAGGAUAAAACCUAUUAAUUGGCCCAAAGGUUGUUCUCAGGUAAAAAAUCUGCUAAAAUGAUCAAACAGCUCAUUAAUGCUUGUGAGACUUGCCUUAAAAAUAAUCCUCUCAAUUGAUGGCCUCUCUCAGCAAGAACCCAAAGAAUGGGAGGCCACCCAGGAAAAGACUAGCAUAUAGAUUUCACCCAUAUGCCAAAGAUAAGGGGCAUCCAGUACCUCCAGGUUUGGGUAGAUACCUUCACUAACUGGGUAGAAGCAUUUCCAUGUUGAACAGAGAAACCCAAUGAGGUAAUAAAAGUACCAGUUGAUGAGACAGUUCCUCACUUUGGAUGCCCUAAGUACCUCCAGAGUGAUAAUGGCCCCUCGUUCAAGGCAGCUAUCACCCAGGGGGUCUCAGAGGCACUAGGCAUACAAUACCAUCUUCAUAGUGCUUAGAGACCACAAUCCUUGGGAAAGGUAGAAAAGACAAAUGAUAUUAUCAAAAGGCACCUCAGAAAACUGUCUCAGGAGACUCAUCUCCCCUGGAUUACUCUUCUUCCUAUUGCCCUACUAUGUGUUAGAAACACCCCUUUGAAACUGAGGUUAAGUCCCUUCAAAAUGAUAUAUGGACAGCAUUUUCUCACCAAUUAUUUAUUGCUAGACCAAGAAACUUCUUAUUUGAUUAAACAUGUAACUUCUUUGGCCCAUUUCCAACAGGAACUGAAACAACUAUUGGAGGCCCAAUCCCGUGAACUAGGGGCCCACUUUAUUCAACCCAGGGGACCUAGUACUGGUAAAGGCUCUUCCUUCUCUUUUUCCCUCUCUAGGCCUGGAUUGGGCGGGAACUUAGACUGCACUUCUUUCUACUCUUUCAGCAGUAAAGGUCACUGGAAUAGAUUAUUGGAUUCAUAUACUCAAGUAAAGGCCUGGAGAACUGACAGAAUGACUUCUGUUGACCCAGAAGAGCACCCGAAGUACCAAUGUGAAGAGAGACCUUGAGCUGAUGAUCAGAAAAGUGUCCAGUGUCUGUGUACCUAAUUCCACUUGGUCAUGAGACAAGAACCUGGAACUCGCCAAACUGCAGGAGUGAAAGAGCUGUAACACUCCCUUCUCCUCACUGAACUACAGGAAUGAAGAAGCCACUGGGUGUCUCUCCCUUCUGCUCGCUGAACUAUGGGACUAAAGAAGCUGCAACAUCAGCAUCUGUUAUUUUUUGACUUUUUAAUAAUAGCCAUUCUGACUGGUGUGAGAUGGUAUCUCAUUGUGGUUUUGAUUUGCAUUUCUGUAAUGAUAAGUGAUGUUGAGAUUAUUUUCAUAUGAUUGUUGGUCACAUAGAUGUCUUCUUUUGAAAAGUGCCUGUUCAUGUCCUUUGCCCACUUUUUAAUGGGGUUGUUUGGACAAUAAACGUUCUUAAAUGUGCUCAACCCUAUAAGUAAUAAGAAAAAAUGCACAUUGAAACACCAUAUGAUACCACUGUUCACCUACCACAAUGGCUAAAAUGAAAGAAAUAAUAACAAAUUUAAACAAGAAUAUGGAGCAACUGGAACUCACACACUGCUGGUUGUAAUGUAAAUUUGCACAAGCACUUCAGAAAACUGUCACUAUCUAUAAAACUGAACAUAUGUAAACCCUUUAUGGAAGGACCUUGAAGAGAGUAAUAGAAAAAGUCUGAAAGCCUAGAAAACUGUGUUAGUAGAUGCCUGUAUUAGUCCACUUUAAAAGUGCUAUAAAGAACUACCUGAGACUGGGUAACUUAUAAAGAAAAGAGGUUUAAUUGACAAGAAGGCAAAGGGGAAGAAAGGCACAUCUUACAUAGCAGCAGAGGAGAGAGAAAGAAGAAGUGCCACACUUCCUCUUUCUUAAAACUAUCUUCUUAAAACACUUCUUAAAACUAUCAGAUCUCAUGAGAACUCUCUUACUAUCAUGAGAACAGCAUGGGGAAAACCGCUGCCAUGAUUCAGUCACCUCCCACCAGGUACCUCCCUAAUAUGUGGGGAUUACAGUUCAAGAUGAGAUUUGAGUGGGAACACAGAGCCAAACCAUAUCACACUGAGAGGUGAAGCCAGCUGGGCUUCUGGGUAGGGUGGGGACUUGGAGAACUUUUCUGUCUAGCUAAAGGAUUGUAAACACACCAAUCAGUGCUCUGUGUCUAGCUAAAGGUUUGUAAAUGCACCAAUGAGCACUCUUUAAAAUGGACCAAUCAGUGCUCUGUAAAAUGGACCAGCAGGUGCUGUAAAGACACAUGCACACAUAUG
rnacentral:lncRNA from 10 species